UACGUAGGGGGCGAGCGUUGUCCGGAUUUAUUGGGCGUAAAGAGCGUGUAGGCGGUUCGGUAAGUCUGUCGUGAAAUCCUGAGGCUCAACCUCGGGCGUGCGAUGGAUACUGCCGGGCUAGAGGGUGGUAGAGGCGAGUGGAAUUCCCGGUGUAGCGGUGAAAUGCGCAGAUAUCGGGAGGAACACCGGUGGCGAAGGCGGCAUCCUGGACCGACACUGACGCUGAGGCGCGAAAGCUAGGGUAGCAAACGGG
rnacentral:rRNA from 1 species